UACAGAGGGUGCGAGCGUUAAUCGGAAUUACUGGGCGUAAAGCGCACGUAGGUGGCGACGUAAGUCGGGUGUGAAAGCCCCGGGGCUCAACCUGGGAAUUGCAUUCGAGACUGCAUUGCUGGAGUACGGAAGAGGAAGGCGGAAUUCCCGGUGUAGCGGUGAAAUGCGUAGAUAUCGGGAGGAACAUCAGUGGCGAAGGCGGCCUUCUGGUCCAGUACUGACACUCAAGUGCGAAAGCGUGGGGAGCGAACAGGAUUAGAACUAC
rnacentral:rRNA from 1 species